rnacentral:rRNA from 1 species
GACGGGGGGGGCAAGUGUUCUUCGGAAUGACUGGGCGUAAAGGGCACGUAGGCGGUGAAUCGGGUUGAAAGUGAAAGUCGCCAAAAAGUGGCGGAAUGCUCUCGAAACCAAUUCACUUGAGUGAGACAGAGGAGAGUGGAAUUUCGUGUGUAGGGGUGAAAUCCGUAGAUCCACGGAAGGAACGCCAAAAGCGAAGGCAGCUCUCUGGGUCCCUACCGACGCUGGGGUGCGAAAGCAUGGGGGAGCGAACAGG